GCGGAGGAAAAGAAACCAACAGGGAUUGCCCUAGUAACGGCGAGUGAAGCGGCAACAGCUCAAAUUUGAAAUCUGGCUUCGGCCCGAGUUGUAAUUUGUAGAGGAUGCUUUUGGCGCGGUGCCUUCUGAGUUCCCUGGAACGGGACGCCAUAGAGGGUGAGAGCCCCGUAUAGUUGGACACCAAGCCUUUGUAAAGCUCCUUCGACGAGUCGAGUAGUUUGGGAAUGCUGCUCAAAAUGGGAGGUAAAUUUCUUCUAAAGCUAAAUACCGGCCAGAGACCGAUAGCGCACAAGUAGAGUGAUCGAAAGAUGAAAAGCACUUUGAAAAGAGGGUUAAAUAGCACGUGAAAUUGUUGAAAGGGAAGCGCUUAUGACCAGACUUGUUCCCGGUUGAUCAUCCAGUGUUCUCACUGGUGCACUCUGCCGGGGUCAGGCCAGCGUCGGUUCUCGCAGGGGGAUAAAAGCUUCGGGAACGUAGC
rnacentral:rRNA from 1 species